rnacentral:rRNA from 1 species
AGUGAACGCUGGCGGUAGGCCUAACACAUGCAAGUCGAACGGCAGCACAGUAAGAGCUUGCUCUUACGGGUGGCGAGUGGCGGACGGGUGAGGAAUACAUCGGAAUCUACUUUUUCGUGGGGGAUAACGUAGGGAAACUUACGCUAAUACCGCAUACGACCUACGGGUGAAAGCAGGGGAUCUUCGGACCUUGCGCGAUUGAAUGAGCCGAUGUCGGAUUAGCUAGUUGGCGGGGUAAAGGCCCACCAAGGCGACGAUCCGUAGCUGGUCUGAGAGGAUGAUCAGCCACACUGGAACUGAGAGACGGUCCAGACUCCUAAGGGAGGCAGAAGUGGGGAAUAUUGGACAAUGGGCGCAAGCCUGAUCCAGCCAUACCGCGUGGGUGAAGAAGGCCUUGGGGUUGUAAAGCCCUUUUGUUGGGAAAGAAAAGCAGCAGGUUAAUACCCCGCUGUUCUGACGGUACCCAAAGAAUAAGCACAGGCUAACUUCGUG